rnacentral:rRNA from 1 species
AUAGUGGUUUGUUAUAUUGAUUAAUGUAAUAUAGUUAUUAUUUUCAAAUUAAAUGGUAGUGAAAUGCUAAUUGAUUUUUAUGGUAACUAGUUUAUUGGUAUUGAGUAGAGUGCAAAUUAAAAUAAAUUAUUUUAUAGUAAAAUUUAGGUUUUGUACCUUUUGCAUAAUGGUUUAAUAAUAUUGAGUUGGUAUAUAUUGUUCUCGAAAUAUAAAGAUUUAUUAUUAUUUAUGUGGAAAAUGAUCUUUAUUAAAUAAAUAAUAGUUAACCGGGUAAAGUUAUUAUUUUAAGAGUAAAUGGUAGUGAAAUGCUAUUUGAUUUGUAUGAUAGCUAGUUUAUUUAUUUUUACAUUUUAGUGUUAGUUAAAAAUUAUUUAUGGUUGGUAGAGUUUUUUAGUUUAAGUAUUAGGGGAUAAGCUUCAUCUCAGGCCGACUAAAGACUUGAGAGUGGAUUUGGCAGAUGGAAACUGAACGAAGCCCGUCAUAUAUAUAUACGUAUAUGUGUGUGUACACUCUGUUGAGUGUUGGCGUUAGGAAGGGCAUCCAGCCGUAGAAAGCAUGCCAAACUAUAAAAAGUGAAAUAUAAUGUUAGAAUGAGUAACUAACUCAUGCCAGUAAGAACAAUGGAUGUUAAAUGAUGAAGAUAUAUAUAUAUAAAAUGUAAUUUGAGAGUUAUGAAUUAAAAUAAAAUAAAGGAAUUUGGCAAAAAUUAAUUUUGUCUGUUUUAUCAAAAACAUGUCUCUUUGAAAAUUAUUAAUAAAGAGUUGGGCCUGCUCGGUGAGAAGAAAAAUUUAACAGCUGCGGUAUUAUAACUGUACUAAGGUAGCAUAAUAAUUUGCCUUAUAAAUUAAGGCUAGAAUGAAUGGUUUGACGAAAAUUAGACUGUCUUUAUUUUAUUUGUUAGAAAUUAAUUUUUAUAGUGAAAAAGCUUGAAUAAUUUAAGGGGACGAGAAGACCCUAUUGAGCUUUAUUUAUUAAUAUUUAAAUAUAAAUAUAUAAUUUAUAUUAUGAAAAUUAUGUUGUAUAUAUAUAUAUAUUUAAUUGGAUUUAAUUUUGAUUGGGGUGAUCAAGGAAUAAAGAUAAAGUAACUUCCUUAAAAUUAAUGAUUGUUUUUAUAGAGUAAUAAACCAAGUUUUUUGCUUAUAAGAUAAGUUACCAUAGGGGUAACAGCGUAAUUUUUUUUGAGAGUUCAUAUUGAAAAAAGAGAUUGCGACCUCGAUGUUGGAUUAAAAAUUACCUUAAGGUGUAGAGGCUUUGUUAGGUGAAUCUGUUCGAUUUUUAAAAUUUUACAUGAUCUGAGUUCAAACCGGUGAAAGCCAGGUUGGUUUUUAUCUUUUAAAUUUUAUUUUAAAUUUAAUUUAGUACGAAAGGAUUGAUUAUAAUUAAUUAUUAAAUUAAAUAAAAUAAUUAUCUUU